rnacentral:rRNA from 1 species
UGGGGAAUUUUGGACAAUGGGCGAAACCCUGAUCCAGCCAUGCCGCGUGCGUGAAGAAGGCCUUCGGGUUGUAAACCGCUUUUGUCCGGGACGAAAAGGUUAUGGCUAAUACCUGUCGCACGUGACGGUACUC